rnacentral:lncRNA from 9 species
UUCCGCCGCAGCGGGAGCCACCUUGUCCAGUUCAAGUCCUCGGGGCAGAUUUGUCCGCGCAGGGUUCCUGCUGUGCAGGUGAGCAAAGGGGGUGAAGUGACUGGCCCAAGAUCUUGUAAAAAUGGGAUUCAAACUGAGGCAUCUGCCCACAGCUUCUCCUGCUUGACCUCCUCCUGUAUCUCCUCUGGAACAACUGGCUUCCUGAUGCACCUGCGGAGCCCAGACCUGCCUGCCCUUGGAUGUCCUCAGGUCCUGGCGGGGCUGGCAGGGCCACUUGCACUCGUCCUGGCUGGUAAGGGAGGCAGCCGGCAGCAGAGUGCUCAGGUCCUGCCACUCCCUACUGAGCCUGCAGAGCCUCAGUUUUCUCACCUGUAUGAUGGGAACACGGGCCCCCCCUCCAGGGUCAGUGUGAGGACCUGGCAUCAUCCCCAUCUUGUAGCUGGAUGAGAUGGAGGCUCACGGUGAGCGGGCAGGAGAGGCUCAAGCCCCCACUGUGUCGGAUCCUCCUCCCAGCAUCCUGCAUGGGUACUUGAACAAGAAAAGGGAGAACGAGUCACUGCUGAGGAGCGGUGUCAGGUGAGGCACAGGGCACCGUCCACCCCAAUUUACAGAUGGGGGAACCGAGGCUCCCAGGUAAGGUGAGUCUCCACAGCCAGUGAACCCAGCCUACUGACUUUGGCAUCCCUGCCCUUGAACCUGCUCCCAAAGGCAUCCCAGCCAGAUGUUUCCUAAUUAAUUCCAGCAUCUCAUCCAUCUUCUGUAGGAUGCAGCUGCAAGACUGUCCCCAACCCUGGGUUCCAUGUGACCUUUUUUUGUUUUGUUUUGUUUUGUUUUGAAUGAAAUAAACUCCUCACAUUUAUUGAGCA